rnacentral:rRNA from 1 species
GACGAACGCUGGCGGCGUGCUUAACACAUGCAAGUCGAGCGGUAAGGCCCCUUCGGGGGUACACGAGCGGCGAACGGGUGAGUAACACGUGGGUGACCUGCCCCUCAGCUCUGGGAUAAGCCUGGGAAACUGGGUCUAAUACCGGAUAUGACUCCAUGACGCAUGUCGUGGGGUGGAAAGCCUUGUGCGGCUGGGGAUGGGCCCGCGGCCUAUCAGCUUGUUGGUGGGGUGANGGGCCUACCAAGGCGACGACGGGUAGCCGGCCUGAGAGGGCGACCGGCCACACUGGGACUGAGACACGGCCCAGACUCCUACGGGAGGCAGCAGUGGGGAAUCUUGCGCAAUGGGCGAAAGCCUGACGCAGCGACGCCGCGUGAGGGAUGACGG